UACAGAGGUGGCAAGCGUUGUUCGGAAUUACUGGGCGUAAAGGGCGCGUAGGUGGCCUUCUUAGUCAGACGUGAAAUCCCCGGGCUUAACUCGGGAACUGCGUCUGAUACUGGAAGGCUCGAGUUCGGGAGAGGAAUGUGGAAUUCCCAGUGUAGCGGUGAAAUGCGUAGAUAUUGGGAGGAACACCAGUGGCGAAGGCGGCUCACUGGACUGGUACUGACGCUGAUGCGCGAAAGCGUGGGGAGCAAACAGG
rnacentral:rRNA from 1 species